UUCGCAAUGCCCGAAAGGGUGACGAAGCGACGCCGCGUGGGUGAAGAAGGCCUUCGGGUUGUAAAGCCCUGUCAGGAGUUGUGAAAUGUAGGUGCGAUAAUACCGUGCCUAUUUGACAAAGGCUCCAAAGGAAGCCACGGCUAACUCUGUGCCAGCAGCCGCGGUAAUACAGAGGUGGCAAGCGUUGCUCGGAAUUAUUAGGCGUAAAGAGCACGCAGGUGGGUUUGUAAGUCAGAUGUGAAAGCCUUCUGUUCAACGGAAGAAUUGCAUCUGAAACUGCGAGUCUUGAGUGUAGGAGGGGAGAAUGGAACUUCUGGUGGAGCGGUGAAAUGCGUAGAUAUCAGAAGGAACGCCGGCGGCGAAAGCGAUUCUCUGGCCUAUUACUGACACUGAGUGUGCGAAAGCUAGGGGAGCAAACGGGAUUAGAUACCCCGGUAGUCCUAGCCGUAAACGAUGGGCACUAAGUAGAGGGGUUUU
rnacentral:rRNA from 1 species